UCCUAAACAAAAGAGUCAGUCACCUAAAACACAAAGGUACCAAAGUUGGAGCCCUGAGGAACACCACAGGUCAAAGUGAGUGUUACCCAGGAUCCCUGUGUUUCCAACAGAGAAAAGGAGAUUCUUUAGACUCCUGUUCUGAAACAAGAACAAACCUCCUCACCUCACAGAGAUUUAUAAUGACGCUGAUAGCUGAACCAGGAGGAAGGGGAGCUGAGAGAAGAGAAACUACAGAUGAAGGAGGAGACGGAGAGAUUCAGGGAGGAGCUGAGCUGUUGCUGAACUAUAGAACAGACACAAACUUCCACAUUCAACACAGUUCAACAUACAAACCACAAACAUUCACUCUGUUCAACAUGGACUGUUGUGGGCUUUCUCUGCUGGUUGUCACUAUUCUAACAGGAGUCAGCUGUGAACAGCUGACUGCAGUGAAGAAUGAAGAGUCCAGUUUAGAAGGAGCCUUUGUUACUCUGUCCUACAAUUACUCUAGAGAUGCUGCUAUUGGUGAUUAUUUCUUCUGGUACCGGCAAGAUCCAGGAGAACCUCCAGAGUUCCUGAUCUCUCACACAGGAACAGAAACACUUCUAUUACAGAAAGUGUCUGGACUGACUUUUACUGUGAGUGAUGAUAAAAGACGUGUGGACCUGCUGAUCUCCUCUGCUGCAGCGACAGACUCUGCUGUGUACUACUGUGCUGUGAGGCCCACAGUGACAGGAAACAGUAAAAGUGUGUAGAAAACCUGCAGAGCAAAGACAACACAAUACUCCACAACAUCCACUAGAGGGACUCACACAGUGGGAACCCACUGGUUGUUGAGUUGUUGGACUGAUGACAAAGACAACAGACACACAAAGCAGCAGAAACAAGGUGAAGUUGCAGUAAAGCUGGUGGAGUUUAAGUGGUUCAACAUCUAUAAAUUCUGUUUUAUCCAAAUUCAGAAGCAGGAAAUGAUUUUAAAACCAGCCUCUAACAGUGGAUAGGCAUUUUUCUAGUUUAAUCAAGUUGUAAGGCCUACCCAGAGAGAGAGGGACAGGCAGCAGAAUAACAAUAAAGGUUACAUCAAAUGGACAUAGGAGGCCACCCAAAGGCAGCAGAUAAAUUGAGAACAGCAGUGGGCCCAGUAAAGACUCUUGAGGGACACCAUGCUUCAGCACAAAGGUCUCAGACAUGUCCUUCUGAAUCUGACAUCAUGUGAUCACCCAUACAGUUGAUUUCAGCCAUAAGUGUGUUUCCCGUUACGCUCAUAUAACGUUCAGUAUACCUUCAGCUACACUCGACGGCAUCCCCCGGGUGGCCCUGCGGUGGUGGUGUGUGUCUCUGUGUGUGUGUGUG